GGAAGCGGACGAGCAGGAUACUAUCACGUGCACUCCAUCGGACCACCAACACAAGCUGAGUGAAUGACACAGUGGAAAAUUUUUAAGCACAUGGUGGCAUUUUCCCAGCGUUACUCUCUUAGCCAGCGGGGAUUACAUGUAACGCCUCAUAUUAUGAGGCAUUUUCCAAGUUUUUUCUUCUGCGGCACAAAUGAUCAUCACUGCAAAAUGGGAUGGGGAACACAAAAAUGUCCAUGAAGGUGCAAUUCAGUCCCUGAUUCCUUUCUCAGACUGCAACUUUUCCCUCAAGUAACACCACCCUUCUCCAAUCAUAAAACACAACCAAUAAAUCAUUACGCAUUUUUAAAGGAUGGGAGACUGUACACGUAGGCUAGAUGAACGACAUGGCUUACCUCUUCCAACUGCAUCGAACAAGAUCGUGCAGUGGUUAUAAAUCUGAGCCGAGCCUGGGAAGAAGUGUAAUCAAAUCUAAGUUUUCUGCAGUUUCCCGUGCAUCCAGUCAACAAAAGUAUAAUCUAUUUUCUUCGGUAAACCUGGCAAAAUAAAUUAAUGAUUC